ensembl:lncRNA novel transcript, antisense to C7orf33 and CNTNAP2
GUAUUGGAAUCGCUUCUUUUCUCUUUCUCUGUGAAUUUCUUGAGAGCACAGACUACAUUCUGCUUAACUUUUUAUCCCCAGCUUUCAGCACAGUGCCUGGCUGCUUUGGCGUCUCCAAGUACCUGACCUCAGCUCAACCUGUCUUGGGUUUUCUUCUCCUCCCUGACAUUGACAACCCAGCCCUCCUAGGCACAGAGAGAUGGAGCUGAGUGUGGUUUUCCUGAAAUAAAGCUUGCAUUAUGAGAGGGAAUAAACAGAAGAAAAAAAUAAAGGUCCCUGCUUCCCCUUCCGCCACGACUGUAAGCUUCCUGAGGCCUCCCCAGCCAUGCGGAACUGUGAGAGUCAAUUAAACCUCUUUCCUUUAUAAAUUA